rnacentral:rRNA from 1 species
GACGAACGCUGGCGGCGUGCUUAACACAUGCAAGUCGAACGGAAAGGCCCUGCUUUUGUGGGGUGCUCGAGUGGCGAACGGGUGAGUAACACGUGAGUAACCUGCCAUUGACUUUGGGAUAACUUCAGGAAACUGGGGCUAAUACCGGAUAGGAGCUCCUGCUGCAUGGUGGGGGUUGGAAAGUUUCGGCGGUUGGGGAUGGACUCGCGGCUUAUCAGCUUGUUGGUGGGGUAGUGUCUUACCAAGGCUUUGACGGGUAGCCGGCCUGAGAGGGUGACCGGCCACAUUGGGACUGAGAUACGGCCCAGACUACUACGGGAGGCAGCAGUGGGGAAUAUUGCACAAUGGGCUGAAGCCUGAUGCAGUAACGCCGCGUGCGGGAUGACGGCCUUCGCGUUGUAAACCGCUUUCGCCUGUGACGAAGCGUGAGUGACGGUAAUGGGUAAAGAAGCACCGGCUAACUCCGUG